CCUACGGGAGGCAGCAGUGGGGAAUAUUGCACAAUGGGGGGAACCCUGAUGCAGCGACGCCGCGUGAGUGAAGAAGUAUUUCGGUAUGUAAAGCUCUAUCAUCAGGGAAGAAAAUGACGGUAACUGACUAAGAAGCCCCGGCUAACUACGUGCCAGCAGCCGCGGUAAUACGUAGGGGGCAAGCGUUAUCCGGAUUUACUGGGUGUGAAGGGAGCGCAGACGGCUGUGCAAGUCUGGAGUGAAAGGCGGGGGCCCAACCCCCGGACUGCUCUGGAAACUGUAAAGCUGGUGGGCAGGAGAGGUGAGCGGAAUUCCUAGUGUAGCGGUGACAUGCGUAGAUAUUAGGAGGAACACCAGUGGCGAAGGCGGCUUACUGGACUGCAACUGACGUUGAGGCUCGAAAGCGUGGGGAGCAAACAGGAUUAGAUACCCCUGUAGUC
rnacentral:rRNA from 1 species